CGAGGACGAACGCUGGCGGCACGCUUAACACAUGCAAGUCGAACGAAGAUGUUUCACCGUAGCUUGCUACACCGAGACAUUUUAGUGGCGGACGGGUGAGUAACACGUGAGCAAUCUGCCUUUCAGAGGGGGAUACCAGUUGGAAACGACUGUUAAUACCGCAUAACAUAUCGAGAUCGCAUGAUAUUGAUAUCAAAGAUUUAUCGCUGAAAGAUGAGCUCGCGUCUGAUUAGAUAGUUGGUGAGGUAACGGCUCACCAAGGCAACGAUCAGUAGCCGGUCUGAGAGGAUGAACGGCCACAUUGGGACUGAGAUACGGCCCAGACUCCUACGGGAGGCAGCAGUGGGGAAUAUUGGGCAAUGGGGGAAACCCUGACCCAGCAACGCCGCGUGAAGGAAGAAGGCCUUCGGGUUGUAAACUUCUUUUACCAGGGACGAAGAACGUGACGGUACCUGGAGAAAAAGCCACGGCUAACUACGUG
rnacentral:rRNA from 1 species